GGGAGAGAGAGCUACCUGUAGGUCUGACUGUAGGUCUGACUGGAGGGAGAGAGAGAGCUACCUGUAGGUCUACCUGUAGGUCUGACUGGAGGGAGAGAGAGAGCUACCUGUAGGUCUGACUGGAGGGAGAGAGAGAGCUACCUGUAGGUCUGACUGGAGGGAGAGAGAGCUACCUGUAGGUCUGACUGUAGGUCUGACUGGAGGGAGAGAGAGAGCUACCUGUAGGUCUACCUGUAGGUCUGACUGGAGGGAGAGAGAGCUACCUGUAGGUCUACCUGUAGGUCUGACUGGAGGGAGAGAGAGCUACCUGUAGGUCUACCUGUAGGUCUGACUGGAGGGAGAGAGAGCUACCUGUAGGUCUGACUGUAGGUCUGACUGGAGGGAGAGAGAGAGCUACCUGUAGGUCUACCUGUAGGUCUGACUGGAGGGAGAGAGAGCUACCUGUAGGUCUGACUGUAGGGAGAGAGAGCUACCUGUAGGUCUACCUGUAGGUCUGACUGGAGGGAGAGAGAGAGCUACCUGUAGGUCUACCUGUAGGUCUACCUGUAGGUCUGACUGGAGGGAGAAGCAGCUAGGAAGAGUUUAUAAACUACUUCAAAGUUUAUAAACCAGAAACUUCACCCAGCGCACGUUACCGGAGGAAUCUGAUCAGAAAUCGGCGACAAAUGAUGAACAUCUGCGGUCCAGAUCCAGGUUCUCCUGACGGUUUCUCUCAGAUCCAUCUGUGAGAACUGACUGACAGAAUCAUCCCAGAGGAGAGCAGACAGCUGCUACAUGCUACCGCUAUGAGACGGUGUGUAACCACAGCGACCAUCAGGGUGGAAAAUAGAAGAUGUGAAACAGUAGUCAGUUCAUUAUUUCUGCUAAAAGACACCUGAUAAAUGUAUGGAAGAUCAGAGUAAUGGUUUAUUAGUUACUGUA